AUGGUUGCUACAACAUUCAUGAGUGCUCAUAAGUUAUGAGUAUUGGAAUAAACCCACGCUCACUUGUAUCACUUCAUGGAAUUUAUCUCGAGUGAUCGUGAGACGGUAAUAUCAUAUAAAUCUUCAAACCUAGAGAUAUGAGUUGUUACCUAUGAGUUGGUUGUGCAUUGAUUGCACGUAAACGCAUCAGUAACUUGAUGUUAUAAAACGUGCCUUUGUGUACAAUUCAACAAGUAGUAGAACAAGCAUAUGAGUCGAAGUUUAUCUGUUCCUUCUAGAAAUAGAAGCGAUAUCUGGGCCCCUCGAUGAUUUUGUUGUGACCUAUGUACCGGCCGGUCAGAACUAAAUUGAUGUGUUCGAUUAAGUUCUUUGUCAAACAAAUCGAAAAUCGGGAAACAAACUGCUGGACAAUAAGUACGACGUUGUUCCAUGUAUUUGUCCGGCUGAUAUCAUGAGAACAGAGGAUUAUAUGAUCACUUAUCUAAAAUGGCGCUUCAUAGUUCAACAGAGUUUUCGAGAGCUACGAUUGCUGGUUGGUUCCUGAAGUAACAUACGCAAAUAUAGUUAUUAGACUUAUCCAAGUGGGAGUCUGUUGGAUAAGGUGUCUAAGUCCAUAACUUAUUUGGUAUAUACUUGACCCGACCCGGCAUGGUCCAUUUGGGUUGCACUUCACCCGAACUAUUUAUGGAUAAUUUUAUGAGAGUUAUACACAUAUGUUUAUUAAUAUAUUAUAAGUUAUAAUAUAUUAAUAUGAAGUUAUGUUAUUUAAUUAGUCUUAGUCUUAAAUUAAUUAUGAAUUAAUUUAGAGAUUAAAAGGAAGACUAAUUAGAUUAUGGGCUAUUGGUUUUAUAUGGUGUGGGCUAACACUCAUUUGUUAAUGGGCUAGGCUUAUAUGGAAGUCCAUGGAUGAUCCAUGGAGCUUUUAACCCAUGGAUCCUUGGAAAAGGAAAGGUCAUGGGUUAUUAGGGUUUCACCCUAACCAUGUACACUAUAUAAGCAUGCUUAUGUUGCAUGAAAUAGCCACUAGUGUGGUUUUGUGUGUGUGGCCGAUUUUUAUGUGUGUAUACACUCUCUCAAAGUUUUCCAAGAGUUUGUGGUGAUUUGUGAUUCCAUUUGAGGCAUUCACACUAUUGGUGCUUGGCCCUCAAACUCCUUAGGAAUCAAACUCAUCAUCAAAAGGUAUGUAAUCUCAUCUAAUUCUUUUAUGUUUAAAAGUACCCCAUGCCAUGUUAGAUAGGUUAUGAACCUUGGAAAAUUAUUAUUUUGCAUGUAUUUAGACAAACAUAGAUCCAAGGUUUAUUAGGGUUGCAUGCACACUUAGGAAGUGUUAGAUUGCUCAAAACCCAACAGUGGUAUCAGAGCCUAGGGUUGCUUGUUUGAUACUUGAAGCAAAAUAAUAAUAAUAAUAAUAAUAAUAAAAGAAUUUCGACUUUUGCUGCUGGAAAUGGACUAGAAAUAUUACCCUAAACUAUUUUGGUGUUUUAAAACUUGUUUUAGUUGGUGUAAUGGUUAUUCUAAUCCAUUUACAAUAGCAUAUAUCAAAAUUCCAUGAUUUUAUGUGUUCAUAUAAUUCUUGAAAUUUUGAUGAUCAUGUUCAUGUUCUUAUGAAUUUAGAAGAUGAUAGGAAUUAUUUGCUGAAUUGUUUAGAAUUAAUUCUUGAUCAUUUAUGUGUUUUAAUGGAGUCCAUAAUUUGUCCUCAAGUUAUGGAUAUCCAAAGGUCACUUUUCUUUAACACACAUUAAACACAUAAGUUACAUAAAAUGAAGAGUCUUCAUUUUUAUGAACCUUUAAUUCAUAAGUUAUGAAAUGAAAAGUUUUGGAUUGUGGAUGUUCAUGUUCAUAUGAGUUUUGUUAGAUCAUAGGAAUUAUUUGCAAAUUGUUUAUUAGUUAAUUCUUGAUCUUAAUGUGUUUUAAUGGAAUUCUUAAUUUGUCCUCAAGUUAUGGAAUUCGAAGAGUUUUUCUUUUAAAUGUUUUUAAGAAGUUGUAGGUUACAUUUUCUUGAAGAGUUUUUCCCAUAAAUGCUUUUAUGGACUUCAUAACUUGUCCUCAGGUUAUGGAUUUCCAAGAGACUCUUCAUUAAAAGCUUUAAAACACUUAAUUAAAACUCAUAAGUUAUGAAUAUCCAAAAGUUUAUGAAUUGUUCAAAACUUGCCCUCAAGUUUUGGAAUUUGUAAAGUCUCACACAAACUUUAAUUCCAUACCCUAGAAGUUUUAAAAGUUAAAAUUCUACCCUUAGGAAGUGUUAGAUUGCUCAAAACCCAACAAAAUUCUCAUUCAUCAUGCUAUACAACUUGCAUGAUUCCAAGUUUCGAUCCAAUUGAAACUUGGGUGAUGAGGAUCUUUCCUUAUUUGCUAAAUUUAGACAUUACCAGAAAUGAAAGAAUCAAAUUCACUUUCCAAUAUUGCUAUGAGUGGAAUCUUAUAAAGAACAAUUUUCCACAAACGCCAUUGUAAGGAUACAUAAAAUAAAUAAAAUAAAAAAUUUCCUUUUAUUUUAAAACUUUGCGGAAAAACUUAUCCUUACAAUCCAUAUGAAAUCUUGUUGUAAUCUAUUCCUAAGCUGUAUCUCAUAACUCAUAAGAAAGUAGCUCAAGAAUCCAAUCUUCAAACUAUGCGAUAGAAAUCCAUCUACGCGAUCAGAUUCAACAUAUUCUUUCUUUAAGUUCCUUCACUUUUCUUUGAUUCUUAAAACAUCACCAUGUUACCCAAUCACAUCAUGUAUCAAGAAUUUCAGAAUAGAAACUUAGCAGAGUUAGAUAGUGGACUUUACCUGAAGUAGAGUUAAACAUAUUGACUUUAACACCCUUAGGUAAAUUGGCAGCUUCGCAACCAAUGCCCCUUCCUUUGGCAAUUUAACAUAUGGACGCUUUGGUAAUGGAACAUAGGACUAUCAAAGAUUUAGCCUUUCUAUUUACCAUUUGGUCAAUCGAGUUGACUAUGGUCGAUCCCUUUCCAUUGGGAAGAGAGAGAUUUACUGGACAUCCAAUGUCAUUAUUGUCAAUGUCCACAAGUUUUAGGAAGCUGAUCUUAGCAAAUAGAUAAGAUCAUUAAGGGUCUUUUCAUAGUCUGUUUCAUAGGACUCCCAAAGGAACUCACUAUGUGACUUAAAAAGUGAUUGGGCAUCCAACUUUCUGAAGACUUUGACACCUAACUCUCCCGGCUUGUCAAUAUGUGACUAAAUCUCCAAGAUGUGACCACACAUAGACCUUUACGUGCCAAUAUGGCUUGAGUGACCUUAAACUUUUCAUGAACUUGUGGGUUAGGGAGAAUAAUUAGAGGAGGAAAGCUUAUUUCAAGAGAUUUGGGAAGAUCAUAAAUGUUUAACCAGACAUCUUUUUGAGAGAUAUUUAAGAUAGUUGAUUUAAAGUCCUUAAUAUAACACCCAACAUGAAAUAUUAUGGCUAGGACCCAACACAAUACUUUUAUAACUAGGAAGAGGGAUGCCGUAAUCCAAGCUAUAAAAUAUUUGAAGGUAGGUGAAUGACGAUUCACCAAUUUCCACCAAGAUAAACGAAAUCUAUUAUUAGGUUUUAAUUCGUUUUGAAACUCUUAGAUCUUUGAGAUACAUUGAACUUUUCAAUGGCAUGUUUCAAUCUCGAGUGUGCCCUUCAGGUUUUGUGACGGGAUGCCGAGGAUCACAAAACAUGGUGUAAAGUAACCAUGCAAAUUAUUUGGUACCCUUAAGUGUUUACCCUUUAAUCAAUGUGUUGGUUAACCACACACGCUCCAUCGAUACUAUGAUAAACAUUAAGUUACCCUUUGCCUACCUUGUUAAAUACGAGUUAGUGUGCCGGUUAACCACACACGCUCCACUAACCGACUUAAACAAAGUGCAAAGUGUAAUUUCAUGGAUUAGCACCUUAUUCACAUUUUCCUAAGUAACUAAGAUUGGGUAUUAUUAAGAGUUUAGUUACUUAGUAUUUAUCAUUAAUACUUUUAAUGAAGGGAGAAUUAUAGUCCUGUCAAACCCGUUCGGCUAACGACCCUCCACCAGUCAAGCAAGCGGUGGGUGAGAGUGGACACCCAUUAAAUUGCCAUUUUAUAGGCAGUAACCUUAUACCCCCUUAUAGACCAACUUCGUGAAUGAGGCCUACUAACGGUAAGACUGACUUUACUCUUAUACAUAAAUAUAAAUAUUAUUAACUUAUAAUAUUAUAAAGUAUAAGGGUUGAAUUUUAACUUCUAAAAUUCUAAGGGCCAACUUGGAAUUAAAGUAUUCAUAAGUGAAAACUUUUCAAAUUCCAAAAUUUGAGGGCAAGUUUUGAAACUAUUCAAAACUAAUUAAUUCCAUAACUUAAGAGUUUAAAGUAGUUUUAAUUAAAAGACUCUUCAAGUUCCAUAACUUGAGGACAAGUUAUGGAUGAAUUUAAACUAAUAAAAGAAUGAACUUUUCUUUAUUUUGUAACUUAUGGAAUUAAUUAAGGUUACAUAUUUUGUUACUUAAUGAACUGACUCUUGAACCUCCAUAACUUGAGGACAAGACUCUUCAGUUUUGUAACCAUUACCAACUUUUAUGAGUUUUGUGAAACUUAAAUGUGACUUUUCAUAUAACUUGAGGAAAAAUUACAAAAACACAUUUUAGAAUCAACUCUUAAAUUAAAAUGGAUUGAAAACACAUAAUCAAUUAACUUUUCUAUUAAUCUAAGCAACUCAUAGGAACAAGAUAAUUCAAAUCAAACUUUUUCAUGUAAUUAUCCUAAUCGUUAAACUAAUACAAAACAUGAAUCUAUUGACAAUUAUCUUUCAAAUUGGAUUAGCAUGAACAUUACCACAUCAAAAGCAAGUUUAUAAGUUCAAAAACAGCUUAGGUUAAUGUUCCUAGUCCAUUUCUAGCCAAAAAACAAAAAACAUGAAAAUAUGCUGCCUGGGGCUCCUACUCGUCUAGUGUAUCAACCUACUCGACGAGUAGGAUGAUUUUCUUCAUGGAAUCGGCGAGUUCAUCAGUAGACUCGGCGAGUUCAACAAUUUGCAUCAAGUAUAAAUGAAAACAAGCCUAGGCUCUGAUACCACUGUUGUGUUUUGAGAAUUCUAACACUCAUAAGUGUACAUGCAACCCUAAAUACCUUGGAUCUAAUUUUUCUCUAUUAUACAUGCAAAUAUGAACUUUCCAAGGUAUUCAUCCUAACUAGCAUAAUAACAUUGAUUCAAAUGAAUAUAUCAAGAUAGAAUUACAUACCUCUUUGAUGUAGAUUGUCUUCAUGAAGCUUGAGUGCCUAGUGCCCGAAGUGUGACACCUCAAAUGGUUCACACAACACCAAAUACACUUGGAAUAGAUUGAGAGAACAUAGAUACUUCAAGAAAUCAGCUAGCCCUUUCUGUUACCCAUAGUGGGCGAUUUUCUCCAAGAAUAAGAUAAUUAUACAUUUAGGAUUACACUAUGUAAACCUAAAUGUCAUGGCCUUUCGUUUCCAUGAUCUAUGGGUACAAAAACACCAUGGAACAUCCAUGGACCAUCUUAUGGGUUUUAGCCCAACUUGACAAUCCAUGGAGCAUUAGCCGACUAUAUAAGUAUGGAUUAUUUACACAAUCAACCCAUAUAUUUAAUUAGUAUUCUAUUGAUCACUUCUUUAAUCCUAGAUUAAUUCUUGAUCAAUACUAAUUAAAUAAUCUUAUUAAUAUAUUAGAACUUAUAAUAUAUUAGCAAACCUUAAGUGUUAUUUCUCUCAUUAUAGUCUAUCCAAAUGCAUGAUGCCAUGCAACCCAAAUGGACCAUGUCAGGUCGGGUCAAGUGUUACCAAUUAUAGUUAUGGACUUAGACAUUAAUCCAAUAGUAUGGUGUUUAACACCUUAUGAGAACAUGUAUUGGUAGAUUGGAGCAAAACCACCAUGCAUGAGUGUAAAGAACGAAGCUUUACGUGAUAAUCGAGCCUUAGGAUGUUAGAUCUAGUGUUUGGAGUGAUACAUAUAUCUUAAAUCGUCUGAAUGAGAAAUCAGAUCGAAGGGACUCGCCGAGUCCAUGGCCUGACUCAACGAGUCAGAGAGGGUUUGUCCCGAUGAGCUUGAUCAUGUGAUAACUCAGCGAGUUGGUUGUCAACUCAACGAGCUGAGCUAGACCUUCGCAAGACUUUUGAAGAAAUGAGAGGACUCGACAAGUCACAUAGGUGGACUCGGUGAGUCGGUAAAAACAUGGAUUGUUGACUCGAGUUUAACUUCUGUUGACUUUAGGGUUUGGUCAAACAUGAGUAAUGGAGACCAUAAAGGGGUAAACUGGUCUUUUAUCCACCUCAAGAGUUAGAGAGAGAAAGAAUAGCCUUCGGUUUAUGAAAGUCGUGAAAAGAGUAUUAAUUAGAGAUAUUCAUCAUUUGUGUUAUGUGGAGGCUAGUUCGAGAUUCGAGUGUGAGGUUAUUUGCUUACUUGCUUUCAAGGUGAGUCUUCUCACUAUACUUACCUAGUGUGGUGGUCUGAGUUGUGUUACUAGAGGAUCUUAUGUACUUAUAUUGUGUAUUGUGAUAUCCUGCAUUAUUUCUUUGUGAUUUAUGCUAUGUAUUAUUUUGAGCUUUCAGAGUUUGGACGGGAGGUUCCAUCAGAGUUGUGGGACCGGAGGGUUCUACUAAGACACGUUGACUGGAGGGUCUUACUGUGUUAUAGCCUCAAGUGGCUAAAGAGUUGUGUGUAGUAUUUUGGGGAACUCACUAAGCUUCGUGCUUACCGUUUUAUGUGUUAUGUGUUUUAGGUUUUUCUCAAGAUUUCCGGAAGGCACUGACUUGAUUGUACACACCAGUGAGAGAGUUAUGUUUUGACGAUCCUGGAUUUUAAUCAAACAAUUAUGGAGGUGCGAUUUGUAAAUUAAAUAAAUAAGAUCUUUAUGAAAUGUGUUAUGAUAAUUAUGUGAUUUUAAAUGAAAAUUUAUUUGAAAAUUUACGGUGUUACAAGUUGGUAUCAGAGCCUUGGUUUGAGGGAUUUGGAUGCACCUUCGGGUGUGUCUGGACUCAAACUGAGGAUUCGAGAAAAAUUUUCAAAAGAAAUGAUUUUUCUAAAACGAGCAAGAGUUUCUAAGAGAAAUCGAGAAGGUGCAGUGUGUGCAAUCAGUCAGAGCCCGAACAGUGAUUUCCAAAAAUACCCUUACUUAUUUGUGUUAUGAAUUAUUAUUGAGAUUUUGUGAUGCAUGCUAGAUUAUAGGCUAGGUAUUUCAUAUGUUAGGGAUAAAGUGGCAUGAUUUGUGAUGCCUUAGCCUAGGAAUUAUUGGUUUCUGUGUUAUGCUAUGAGUAUGUGCGGAGUAAGAGUAUCCAUCAUGAAUCUUUUAGAGAGAGCUUUAAGUAGAGGAGUAAUCUAGGAGAGAUACCUAGAUGAUCAUUGGAGGAGCCUACUAAGAAAGUAGGUAGAUACCUGCGAGAGGUAGGGUUGCUUGAGUUCGGUGAUACUGUUUGAGUGAGAGUAGAGAAAAUUGAGUUGUAACGACCCAAUUUUCACAGCCAAAAAUUUCAUUUUAAAUCAACACAUUGGAAAACAUUUGUGAAUAAACAUCAUCAUUUCAUAAACAUAUUUCGUCUCCGAAACCAAAACAUAAAAACAACCAUAAUGUCAGAGUACAAAUCCCAGAAUAUCUCGUAGUGCGGAAAACAAAGAGCGUGUGUGUGAUAUGGCGCUACCACGCCAGCUCCUUCCCCUUCGAUGAAGAGGCAUCUGAAACAACAACUGAAAACCAUAAGCACGAAGCUUAGUGAGUUCCCCCACCGUACCACAUACCAAAUAACUACAUAACAUAAAUAUAUUGUCAGGCAUAUAUGGGUGCCCGACCUACCCCUUCGGUCCUCUCGACCGGAUACUGACUAUUAUACCAAAAUCCAAUAACAUAAAAUAUGAAGGAAUGUGCAUGAUCAUGCCUUUGCUUUCCACCGAUCCUAUGAAGUACCUAAAACAACAAACUGAAACUAUAAGUCAAAGCUUAGUGAGUUCCCCCAAAGUACCACACAACCAUAUAAACAACAACAUUCAAACAUGAGCCUUAAGUAUAACUGGACUGCUAUCAGAGCCUUCGGCCUAACUUGACCGCCUCGCAAGCCUUCAGUCUAUCCGAGCGUCAGUGGAUGUCUUGGCUUUCAACACCAGUUGGUCCACCUCAACCCAACAAACCAUAUCAUGUUGACAUAUGUAUUAUAAAUCAAUAAUCAGCAAACACAUGUAGUCCUAUAGAUCUACUAGUGAACUUAUAUAUCAGCAUAACAACACAUAACAAAAUAGGAUAUCUAAUCCAAUGAGUCGACCUUGUUUUCUUUGACCCAUAAGUAUAGUUAGGAAGACUCACCUCUCAGCCCAAACAAAAAAUUGAAUAGGUCUCUACUCUCUACUCCGAAUAUCAGGUCUAUAGGUCACCUAUUCAUCAAAUAGUGACCGAUCUCAAAUUCAACUUAAACUACCCAAAUUAACCUUAGGUCAAACAUAGUCAAAUCCUAGUCAAAGUCAAAAAAUAAAAAGUCAAUCCUAGUCAACACAUUUGAGUAUACCCAGUGUACUCAAAUUUUAUGCUUAGCAUACUCGAGCUUCACCAAAAAUAGGCUAGCUGACCUUGUAGGUGUGGCGUACCUGGGUUACGACCAACAUACUCAAUAGUUUCCUUUCGUUUCUUAUAAAGAUCUUAAUCCUUAAGCUCUUUUCUCUAAAUUCUAGAUCUAGUCCUCAAUUAACGUCUCUAACCAUAAAGUUUCCAACUUUAUGGUCUUUCAUGGCUAUUAAGCGCCCAACAAUAAAAACCCUAACUUCCUAACUCAUUAAGACAUUAUAACCCAUGCAUGGAAGGAAACUAACAAUCAAAAUUGCAUUUUUAUGACUUUAGAUACUUGAAAACAUCUAGAAGGACAAUUCAUUUGGAUCUAGAGCAUUCCAUACUCAAGAACACCGUUCAUUGUGGACCAAAGCACAUAAUAACAUCAUACAAGCUAGAUCUAACCAAAUAAGCAUCAAGGUAUGAACUUUAUACCUUCUAGAGAUGUAAGAGGGUGCAAAACAUCUAGAUCCAACAUUGUUCCAAGCUUCUAAGUUGUUCUCUUUUCCUUCUUCUUCCACUAUCAACACCAAAACAAACACAAAUGGUUCAAGAAUGCUAAAAAAUGAAUUAGUGUUUGCAAUGGUCAAAGUUAGUGUUGGAGGCUGAUGAAAAAAAGAAGACUUGGGACUUAAGGAUGUCUAAAUAAGGUCCAAACCCUAAAAAUUAGGGUUUGGUAUUUUGGCACGUACACCCAGCAUACCUGGGGUACGCCCAGUAGGGAUGAGACUGGGUCCUAACCUGGAACAGACGGACCCGGACCCGAAAAAUCCAGAACCAACCGGAAACCGGACCGGUAUAUAGGAACCGGUUUUGGUUCGGUUCUAGGUAAAGUGGGUCUAGAACCGGAAAACCCGGAAACAUCAAAUUGGGUAGUUUGGAACCGGAUAAAGUGGGUUUAGAAUCGAUGUAACGAUGUGAAAAUUUAAAACAAAUUUUCAUUUUUAGAACAAAAUUAAUGCACAUAAUUCAUUCCAAAAACUUAAGUGUCAAAUGUCAUCUCAAAUAAACAUAUCCCAGAAUCUCAAAAUACAUAAUCCUCCAUUAGUGUAUACAAAUCAUGUCAUCCCCUUCCCGUAAUCCUCACUGGUACCUGAAACACAUCACACAAAACACUGUAAGCAUAAAUGCUUAGCAAGUUCCCCAAAAUACCACAUACAACACAUAAUAGCCACUCGGAGGAUGUAACUCUGAAUGACUUUCCGGUCAAUGUGUCUCAGCGGCACCCUCCAGUCCCGUAGAUCGUUGGACCCUCUGAUCUGGUCUAGCUCGUUGGACCCUCCGGUAUGGUCUAAAUUGUUGGACCCUUCGAUCUGGUCUGUUCGAGGACCCUCUGGCCUUGUAUAUCGUUGGACCCUUCGGUCCGGUCUAUAUAACACAGAACAUACAUAUAACAUAAUGCACAAAAUCUCAUACAUACCCAUAACAUAUAAGACCCUCCGGUUUGCACAUAGAUACCACUCUAGGUAAUGUAUUGUGAAAAGACUCACCUCGUAUGAUAUCGGAUAACCUCUCGCUCGAUAACCCGACCUAGCCUCCUCCUCCUAUCAAAAUAACAACAUCUCUAAUCAAUACUUUCUCUUGUCCUCAUCUAUAACAAAUGGGUAGAAGACCAUUCUCACCCAUCCUGACCUCUCUUGAUUCAGCUUGACCAAAACGAGACUCGUCGAGUGCACUCGUGUGACAUCCCCGAAUUCACGCCCCAAAAAGACCGAUUUGUUUAUGCUUUAUUUGAAAAUCAGAGUAUAUUUUUAAAGAAAUAUAAUGCGGAAUUUGUUCCCAAAAAAUAUGAAAAAGAAUUUAUCAAAGCAUUUCCGUAGAAAUGUACUAUAUUAAAAACUUUUGGAUAUCAUUGUUAAUACCGAUCAAAAGCAUAAACAUAAACAACAUAGGCAUUAUAAUAUCUAUUUAUUCUAGUAUCCUAUAAUCCAUUGAUUUCUCAUCAGAUCAUCACUCUGGUGCUCUCUUUCCACUACUUGUAUAUGAGAAAACUGAGUGUGUCAGGCUUGGGAGCCUGGUAAGCACAUAGGGUUUUCAACCCGCAAUAAAUAAGUUUAUUAAUUUCAUCAACCAACAAUAACCCGAUUACCCAUUCCCGCUAUCCUCACUUUACGUCCUUAAAACACCUAUUGUAAGGGAUCUAGCCUAAGGAUUAUCAUCGGGAUGGACACUACUGCUAAGGGGGUUCCUUAGCAAUAAAUGUCCAAAAGGCAACCAUGUGGGGGAUGGAGUACACCGGUGAGCACAUCGUUCACAACACCUACGGGUUACGAGCCUGUCAUCGUUCCACUGGACUGUCUAGAAGAGUCCGUGGUUGUCAUUUACACUCCUCUAGAUGACUGGAUCAAGAACAACAACAUCGAGGCCUCUCAUCAUUUUAUCACACAUCGUCUUAUUAUAUCUACCCAUGUUUUACCCCAAUAUUAUUGUAGAUAUAAAGUACAUAUACAAUUUAAAUCGUUUAAAACUUGUAUAAAAACAUUCAUCCAGGAUAGAUAGAAAGUAUACAGAUAAUAUGCACACAUAUCACGUAAUAUAUAAAAUACUUCAUAUCUAUGUGCAAGAUGAAAGUAACUAUGCACUCACCUUAGUAGCAUGAUUUUAUGUUAACUAAGCAAAACGGUCAGCGCGCGAGAUCGUCGGGGCUCGGGAUGCAAAAUGACCUCAGCAAAGGAGAGAAAGGGAAGAAGUUUUGGUGUAAGAAUGGCUGAAGUCGAACCUGCUAUUUAUAGUAGGGAUUUUAGAAACUCACGUCGUAAGUUUCAUAAGGCUCACGUCGUGAGUCUUGCAUGAUCACCUCGUAGACUUGCCAUUUGCGUCCCUAGCUUCGGAAAGUGGCCAUGUGACUCCUCACGUCGUGACAAACACUUUGUUCACGUCGUGAGUUUGGAUCCUAUCCCCUCGCAGCCUCGUUAUAGCUUCUAGAUUCUGAAAUGUGGCAAAAUGGCUCCUCAAGUCGUGAGUGUCAUAAAGCUCACAACAUGAGUUUAGUUAGCUUAGGGUUUCUGAAAGCUGAAUCUUCGGAAGGCCAUAACUUUUGCAUACGAACUCUGUUUUUGACGUUCUUUAUACCGACGCGUAGGUGGAGACGUACUCUACAACUUUUAUUUCGACUCCUAAGGAUAAAAAGUAGUUUAUCAUAAACUAAAUUUUAUGUUUUCUAGUUUCGUGCCGGUUUUGACACGAAACUUCGACAUAUCAUAUCUUCUUCGUUGUAACUCGGAUUUCGGCGUUCUUUAUAUCUCCGGAAUCCUUGUCCCGACCACUACAACUUUGUUCAUAGAUACUGGACCUAUUUAUUAUUUUAUUUUUGACUCUUAUUUUUAUUCUUAACUUAUUAUAUCUUAUAAUUAAGUAUAAGGCACAUAAACUCACAUAAUAUUCAAAUAAUUCCUAUUUAUUAUUUCAAAGUAGGUUAUAAGUGUUGACGCUAACUAUUACACCAUUAAAUUAAUGCUUAGCCUAGAAACACAGGCGUUACAAUUCUCUCCUCCUUAGAAUGAUUCCAUCUCGGAAUCAUGCGUCAGCAAACAAAUGUGGGUAGCGACUCAUCAUGUCAAUCUCUGUUUCCCUGGUGAGGUUCGGCCCAUUCGUAUGAUUCCAGUGCACAAGCACUAAGUCAACCAUCUUACGGCGCAACUUCUUAUUCUUACAGUCAACAAUCGCCUCAGGCUCUUUAAUUAGCCUCUUAUUCUCAUCCAUCCUUAACUCUGAAAUUGGAAUUAUAUCAGGAAUUUCUCCCGUAAACUUCUUCAAGUAACACUCAUGGAAAGUGUUAUGAAUACCAUCUAGUUCUUCUGGUAACUCUAGCUUGUAAGCUUGGUUCCCAAUCCUCUGAAGAAAUUUGAAUGGUCCUAUAAACCUUGGACUCAACUUUCCUCUCUUUCCAUGGUGAGACUUUGAGCAAAACCGAAUCUCCAACUUCAAAUGUCAGCGGUCAUCUUUUCUUGUCAGCAUAACUCUUUUGACGAUCCUGAGUUGCUAACAUCCUUUCCUUGAUAACUUUCAGCUUUUCAGCAGCUUGAUGGACUAUCUCAGGGCCCAUAAACUGCUUUUCUCCAGCAUCAAGCCAACAAGAUGGCGUACGACACUUCUGUCUAUACAACGCAUCAUAAGGUGCCAUCUUAAUGCUCGAAUGAUAACUGUUGUUGUAGGAAAACUCUACCAGAGGUAAGCGCUCAUCCCAGUUACCUUGGAAUUCUAGGGUACAUGCUCUCAGCAUAUCUUCCGGUGUUUGAAUCAUUCUUUCACUCUGUCCAUCAGUCUGUGGAUGGUAAGCUGUACUUAAACACAACUUCGUAUCCAUUUCUUCCUAUAGACUUUUCCAAAACCUUAACGUGAAAUGACUAUCACGAUAUGAUACAAUCUUUAAUGGUACACCAUGAAGUCUUACCACUUCCUUCACGUAAGCAUUUGGUAGCUUAUCCAUAGACCAUUUCUCAUUGGCUGCUAUGAAGUGUGCACUCUUUGUGAAACGAUCCACGACUACCCAAAUCAUGUCGUGACCGUUCUUCGUUCUGGGCAGUUUAGUCACAAAAUUCAUGGCGAUAUCUUCCCAUUUACCCAUAGGUAUAGGUAAAGGUUCUAAAAUCCCUUAUGAUUUCUGAUGUUGUGCAUUAACCCUUCCACAUGUUACACUUUUAGCCACAUACUUUUCAAUAUCAAGCUUCAUCGUCGGCCACCAACAGUAGGGUUUCAAAUCCCUACACAUUUUAGUGCUACCUGGAUGAAUCGAGUACAUGGUUUUGUGAGCUUCUUCCAUCAGAAGAUCCCUUAUUCCUCCCAUCUUAGGUACCCAAAUUCUAUCUUGGAAUACCUUCAAUCCCUGUUUAUUUGUACCGAAUUCCAACGUUUUGCCUAAACGUUCUUCCUUUCGGUCAUUUUUCUCGAAAGCUUCUUCCCGAGUUUUCUUGAUACUUUCCACAAUCGUCGAGACAACUUCAAUUCGUAACGAUCUUGUCCUUUUUCUUUCAAAGUUUACUUUUCGACUUAGAGCAUCAUCUACAACAUUUUCUUUACCAGGGUGGUAAAGUAUCUCACAGUCGAAAUCUUUGAGUAACUCUAGCCAACGUCAUUGUAUCAUGUUCAAUUCCUUCUGAUUAAAGAGAUACUGGAGACUCUUAUGAUCAUUGAAAAGUUUGCACUUCGUGCCAUAGAGGUAAUGCCUCCUUAUCUUUAGGGUAAAAACUACCGCUGCCAACUCCAGAUCAUGAGUGGGGUAGUUCUUUUUAUGCUCCUUUAAUUGUCGAGAUGCAUAUUCUAUCACCUUUUCUCGUUGAGUUAGAACACAGUCUAACCCGACUCUCGACGCAUCGCUAUACACUGCGAAAUCUUCAACCCCAUCGGGUAGAGAAAGAAUUGGUGCUUCACACAAUUUCUUCUUUAGCUUCUCGAAUGCCUCAUCGUGUUUCUCACACCAUGCAUAUGUGGCUCCUUUAUGGGUCAAAGUUGUCAAUGGAGCAGCUAUCGAAGAAAAGCCUUGGAUAAAUUUUCGGUAAUAUCCAGCUAGUCCUAGAAAGCUUCGAAUCUCCGUGGGACUUUUUGUUCGUUCCCACUUCAUUACAACUUAUAUUUUUGCUGGGUCAACCAUUAUUCCCUCUUGGUUAACCACAUGACCCAAAAAUUGGAAUUCUCGAAUCCAGAAAUCACAUUUGGAGAACUUAGCAUACAACUUCUCCUUCUUCAGAACUUCUAAUACUUCUCUCAGUUGCUUACCAUGCUCCUGCUGACUCUUUGAGUAUAUUAGAAUGUCAUCUAUGAACACUAUUACAAAUCUAUCGAGGAAUGGUUUACAAACCCUAUUCAUCAAAUCCAUAAACGUUGCUGGGGCAUUGGUCAAUCCAAAUGACAUAACUAAGAACUCGUAGUGUCCAUAUUUUGUUCUGAAUGCAAUCAUCUCAAUAUCUGGCUCUCUCACCUUCAGCUGAUGAUAUCCUGACCUAAGAUCGAUCUUUGAGAAAUAGUUCGAACCUUGCAACUGAUCGAAUAGGUCAUCAAUCCUUGGUAAUGGAUACUUGUUCUUCACCGUUUCCUUCUUCAGCUCUCGGUAGUCUAUACACAUCCUCAUGCUUCCGUCCUGCUUCUUUACAAAUAGCACCGGAGCUCCCCAGGGUGAUGAACUAGGUCUAAUAAAACCUUUGUUCAAUAACUCCUGAAUUUGUGUCAUGAGCUCCUUCAUCUCCGCCGGUGCUAGUCGGUAUGGUGCUUUCGCUAUUGGUGUUGAUCCUGGCGACAAGUCUAUUCGAAACUCCACUUGUCUAUCAGGGGGCAAUCUAGGAAGAUCUUCGGGAAAGACUUCCGGAUAGUCACACACCACGGGUAUACUUUGUAUAUCCUUCUCCUCCUUCUUAGUAUCAAUCACAAAUGCCAAGUACGAUGUGCAUCCUUUGGACAAACAUUUUUUGGCUUUCAUCAAGGAAUGAUUCCAGAAUUUACUCAGUGUUUGUCCCCGUACAUCAUAAAUGACUCUUUUGCAGAUGGGUUUACUCUUACCAUCUUCUUCUUGCAUAGUAUCUCAGCAUCAUACGUACUAAGCCAAUCCAUUCCUAGCACGAUGUCGGAACCAUUUAACUCAAUGGGCAGUAAUUCCUCGUGGAAUUUAUUCCCGUUCAAGUCGAUGAAGAUAUUUUUAAUGCAAUUACUAACCGGUAUGAACUUGCUACUGGCAACUUCUACAACUAUAGUAUUAUUAAGCUUAUCUAUAGGCAAUGCUAGUCUUCUACCAAAAUUAUGUGAUAUAAAUGAGUAGAUUGCUCCUGAAUCAAGUAAUACAUUGGCAGGCACUCCAUUUACGAGAAAGGUACCUGAAGCGACAUCUGCUUCAUCUCUUGCUGCUUCCAGUGUCAUCUGGAAAGCUCUAGCUUUCGGUUCCGGUGGGACAUUGGGCCUUGUUGCCUCCUUCUUCUUUGGGCAGUCUUUCAAGAUGUGCCCUUCUUCAUUACACCCAUAACAAACUUUCUUGUCGAGGGUGCAUUCAUUGGCAUAGUGCCCAGGCUUUCCACACUUAAAACAAGUGACUCCUCCGCCACAUUUCCCUAAGUUCUUCUUCUUGCAGUUCUUACACCAUUUUGCUUCACCUCCUCUUCCUCCAAACUUCUUCGAAUCAGACUUCAAAAAUUUACUUUUCUUGUUGUACUCUAAAGAUCCAUCCAACUUUCUUUUAUCACCAACUUCAACCUUGCUGGCGGCUCUUCCCUUGAUCAUCUCCUCAACAGACUUAGCAGCCUAGAUAGCUACCUCCAGAGUAGGUGCCUGACGUACUGGCACAACAUACUCCCAUGGAAGUCCCUUUUCAUACUUGUCAACUUUUGUCAAUUCAUCUGGGAUGAUGCGCAAAGAAAACUCCAUUUUUUCUGUGAAGGCAUUGGUGUAUUCAUCAAUGGACAUGUUGUCCUUCUUUAACGUCAGGAAUUGGUUUUUCAGCUCUAGCAGAUUUUUUUGGCCGAGCAGAACUUAUGUUUGAAGUAUACUAAGAACUCUGCCCAUGUCGGUUGUAGUGGCUUGUUGGGGCUUAUGGUCUUCCCCAGAGUGUUCCACCAGCGAACAGCGCCACCUCUAAACUGACGUACUGCAUAUGUGGUUUGUAGUUUUCCCUUGCAAUCACAUGUUAUGAAAGCCAACUCCAUCUCCGAGAUCCAAUCCAUAAGUCCAAUUGGAUCUUCUUUCCUAGUGAAAGUCGAUGGCUUGCAAGUUGUGAAGUCCUUGUACUUGCAAUCAUUUUCCUCGACUCUUUUGUCUUGGUUGUUCCUCGUAACCACUGGCGGUUCAGCUUGAAUAACCGUCCUAGUGUAAUUCACUUCUUCUGACUGUUCGUCAUUCAGCUCAGACUGUUCAACAAGUAUCGUAGGUUCAUCCUUAUUCUGUUGAAGUAAACGCCUUGUCUCCUCCAUUUGGCGAUCCAACAUCAUCUGGAUCAUAGCUUGUACCCAGCCAUCAUCAUUGGCUCAGGUGCAGCUGCUACAACUGGUACUUGUUCAAUCACUUGGGGUUGAGGCUAUUGAAUGUCAUUUACAUUGGCAUUUUUGACUCCACUUCAGGUUCUUGCCAUGAUGGUCUAUACACCAAAUCAGACGUUCAGUGUGUAGUGACGAGAAUUAAGAUAGGAAAACUUUAUCUACGAUAGACGUAUUAAAUCCUCCUUAUUACUCCAAAGCGUUUAGAUGCUAGUUCUAAUAUCGUAGUCAAACGUUUAAAAUCCUAAACACAUAAAGUUUCUAGGUUCGGUCGGCAACAGACCAUAGAUCCGAAUAAAUAAUAGCAUAUAAGGCAUCUUUAUAGUUAUAGCUAUAACAGAAAGCAUUUAGCAUAUAAAAGCAUUUUAGGCAUCUUUCCAAAAAUAAACUAGUGCUUGUGUCUAAAAUAUAGUAGGCACUCAUCUCACAAUCAUCACUUAGCAUUCUAAGUUUAAGUCUAGAAAUCCUAAAAUUUCCUAGUUCGCUUAAACUAGUGCUCUGAUACCAACUAUGACAUCGCCGAAUUCACGGCCAGAAAAGACCGAUUUGUUUAAGCUUUAUUUGAAAAUCAGAGUAUAUUUUUAAAGAAAUAUAAUGCAAAAUUUGUUCCCAAAAAAUAUGAAAAAGAAUAUAGCAAAGAAUUUCCGUAGAAAUGUAUUAUAUUAAAAACUUUGGGAUAUCAUUGUUAAUACAAAUCAAAAGCAUAAACAUAAACAACACAAGCAUUAUAAUAUCUAUUUAUUCUUGUAGCCUAUAAUCCAUUGAUCUCUCAUCAGAUCAUCACUCCUGUGCUCUCUUUCCACUACCAGUAUAUGAGAAAACUGAGUGGGUCAGGCUUGUGAUCCUGGUGAGCACAUAGGGUUUUCAACCCACAAUAAAUAAGUUUAUUAAUUUCAUCAACCAACAAUAACCCGAUUACCCAUUCCCGUUAUCCUCACUUUACGUCCCUUAAACACCUAUUGUAAGGGAUCUAGCCUAAGGAUUAUCAUCGGGAUGGACACAACUACUAAGGGGGUUCCUUAGCAAUAAAUGUCCUAACGGCAACCAUGUGGCGGAUGGACUGUCUAGAAGAGUCUGUGGUUGUCAUCUAUACUCCGCUAGAUGACUGGAUCAACAACAACAACAUAGAGGCCUCUCAUCAUUUUAUCACACAUCGUCUUAUUACAUCUACCCAUGUUUUACCACAACAUUAAUGUGGAUAUAAAUUACAUAUACAAUUUAAAUCAUUUAAAACUUGUAUAAAAACAUUCAUCCAGCAUAGAUAGCAAGUAUACAGAUAAUAUGCACACAUAUCACGUAAUAUAUAAAAUACUUCAUAUCUAUGUGUAAUAUGAAAGUAACUAUGCACUCACCUUAGUAGCGUGAUUUUAUGUUAUCUAAGCAAAACGGUCAGCGUGCAAGAUCGUCGGGGCUCGGGAUGCAAAAUUACCUCAACAAAAGAGAGAAAGGGAAGAAUUUUUGGUGUAAGAAUGGCUAUAGUCGGACCUGCUAUUUAUAGUAGGGAUUUUAGAAACUCACAUCGUGAGUUUCAUAAAGCUCACGUUGUGAGUCUUUCAUGAUCACUCUGUAGACUUGCCAUUUGCGUCCCUAGCUUCGGAAAGUGACCAUGUGACUCCUCACGUCGUGACAAACACUUUGUUCACGUCGUGAGUUUGGAUCCUAUCCCCUUGCAGCCUCGUCACACCUUCUAGAUUCUGAAAUGUCACAAAAUGACUCCUCACGUCAUGAGUGUCAUAAAGCUCACGUCGUGAAUUUAGUUAGCUUAGGGUUUUUGAAUGCUGAAUCUUCGGAAGGCCAUAACUUUUGCAUACAAACUCUAUUUUUGAUGUUCUUUAUAUCAACGCGUAGGUGGAGACGUACUCUACAACUUUUAUUUAACCUCCUAAGGAUAAAAAGUAAUGUAUCAUAAACUGAAUUUCACGUUUCCUAGUGUCGUGCCGGUUUUGAUGCGAAACUUUGACAGGUCAUAUCUUCUUCGUUAUAAUUCAGAUUUCGGUGUUCUUUAUAUCUCCGGAAUCCUUGUCCCGACCACUGCAACUUUCUUCAUAGAUAUUGGACCUAUUUCUUAUUUUAUUUUUGACGCUUAUUUUUAUUCUUAACUUAUUAUAUAUUAUAUUUAAGUAUAAGGCACAUAAAAUCACAUAAUAUUCAAAUAAUUCCUAUUUAUUAUUUCAAAGUAGGUUAUAAGUGUUGACCCUAACUAUUACACCAUUAAAGCCUCAUAAAGCCUUACUCGACUCGUUGAGUUAACCUUUCACCCGACGGGUUACCACUGGACACGAAUUGUGGGGCAACCUGACUCGACUUGUCAAGUCCCCUUAUGGACUCCGUGAGUUCCUUCCAUGGUAAUACUCAUAUGACCUUCUGAGGUCAGAUCUGUUUCUCUAACCUAUAGAUUUGACUUCCGAUUUCUCAAUAUGUUGGAUUAAUGUCUAAGUCCACAACUAUAAUUAGUAACACUUGACCCGACCCGACAUGAUCCAUUUGGGUUGCAUGGCAUCAUGCAUUUGGAUAGACUAUAAUGAGAGAAAUAACACUUAAAUUUGGUUAAUAUAUUAUAAGUUCUAAUAUAUUAAUAAAGUUAUUUAAUUAGUAUUGAUCAAGAAUUAAUUAGGAAUUAAUUAAGUGAUCAAAAGGAGACUAAUUAAAUAUAUGAGUUGAUUGUGUAAAUCACUCAUUCUUAUAUAUGUGGGCUUGUGAUCCAAGAUUCCUUAUAUUGGACUAAGUCCAUGGGGUGACCCAUGGAUACUCCAUGGAGGUUAAAAUCCAUGGAGCUUAAGGUGGGUAAAGUUAUGAGUUACAUAGAGUAACCCUAAUAGCCACCAUAUAAAAGAAUCCCAUGGCUCAAGAAAUCGUGCACUAUGUGUGAGUGUGAGGGCUAGACAAUUUCAAGGAGUGUUCAAGUUUCUCUUAAGUUAUUCCAAAUGUAUUUGGUGUUGUGUGAACCAUUUGAGGUGUCACAGUUGGGGCACUAGGCACUCAAGCUUCAUGAAGACAUUCUACAUCAAAGAGGUAUGUAUUCUAUCUUGUUAUAUUCAUUAUUUUGUAUGCUAGAUUAGGAUAAUGACUUAGAUGUUCAUAAUUGUAUGUAUAAUAAAAAAACAUAGAUCCAAGGUAUUUAGGGUUGCAUGUACACUUAGGAUUGUUAGAAUGCUCAUAACCCUACAGUGGUAUCAGAGCCUAGGCUUGUUUUCUUGUUAUACUUGCAAAAGUAGCUGAAAAAUCGAGUUUUGAUGCUGUCUGCACAAUAGACUCGCCGAGUCCAUGAAUGGACUCACCGAGUCCAAGGAAAAUGCAUCCAACUCGUCGAGUUGGUUCGUGAACUCGACGAGUUGAACCCCCUGACAGCAUAUAUUCGAUUGUUUUGGCUGGAAUUGGACUCGGAACAUUACCCUAAGGUGUUUUUGGACUUAUAAACUUGUUUUGAUGUGGUAAUGUUCAUGCUAAUCCAAUUUGUAAGAUAAUUUUCAUAAUUUCAAGAUUUGUAUUAGUUUGUAUGUUCAUGCUAAUUUCUUGAAGAUUAAUUAUUUGAAUUAUCUUGUUCUUAUGAUGUUCUUAGAUGAAUAGAAAAGUUUUGUGAAAUAGUUGUUUUCAAUCCAUUUUAAUCUAAGAGUUGAUUCCAAAGUGUGUUUUUGUAACUUCUGAUGGGUUUUAGCCAUAUGAACAUUCCUAUGUGCACAUACAAACCCUAAUGCUUGGAUCUAGAUUUCUCUAAUUGAACAUGCAUUGAAUCCAAGACUUCUAAUGAUGAUUCUAGUAUAAUAACAUAAGAAAUCAGAUUUAGAUGAUUACCUUGAGUCACUUGCUUGAAUCUUCUUGUCCUUGGAGCUUUAGAGUCACAAUUGUCACUCCUCUACUGGCUUACAAACACAAACUACCUAGAGGAUGAUUAUAGAGAGAAGAGAGGGGAGGAAGAAAUUGGCCAGGGUUUCUUUAGAGACAAGAUGCCGAUUUCCCUUAACCCCUAGGGUCUAUUUGUACUAGUGAGGCUCCUAGGGUUUCACCCUUAAACCCUAAUUGGAUAACUUAAUCCCUAAGCAAUCCAAUACCCUAAUGAUAAGCCUUGGACAAUUUCAAGGUCUAUCUUAAGCCCCAAAACCGUCCCCCCUUAUCCAUAAGGGAAUAUAGCCCAAAGUACAACUAUCAUACAAUUGACAGUUUAUGCCCUUUUAUUCAAUUAAUCUCUUUAAGUCACCAAAUCAAUUCCUAAUUAAUUUAUGACUUAUGUUAAUCAAAUAAUAAUAUUAUUAUUCUCAUAAUAUAUUAAUAAUAUCUCUUCUCUCAUUACAAAUCAUCCAUUCAAGUUGCUAUGGUGAAGGCAACCCAAAAGGACCAUGCACAACCGGGUCAAAUACUUGCCUAAUAUAGUUGUAGCCUUAGACACUAUUCCAACAACUUGUCCUCAAGUUAUAUGAAAAGUCACAUUUAAGAAUCAUAAAACUCAUAAAAGUUGGCAAAGGUUACAAAAUGAAGAGUCUACUUCUAAUUAAAUGGUUAUAUGACUCCAUAACUUGUCCUCAAGUUAUGGAGAUUCAAGAGUCUCUUCAUUAAAUAAUAUAUAAAAAAAAUGUAACCUUAAUUAGUUCCACAAGUUACAAUAAAUUUUUUUUUUAUUAUUAUUAAUUAGUUUAAAGUCUUCCAUAACUCGUCCUCAAGUUAUGGAACUUGAAGAGUUUUUUUCAUUAAAUUAAAACUACUUUAAACUCAUAAGUUAUGGAAUUAAUUAUUUUUGAAUAGUUUCAAAACAUGACCUCAAGUUUUGGAAUCUGAAAAGUUUCACUUAUGAAUACUUUAAUUCCAGGUUAGCCCUUAGAAUUUUAAAAGUUAAAAUUCAACCCUUAUACUUUAUAAUAUUAUAAGUUAAUAAUAUUUAUAUAUAUGUAUAAGAGUAAAGUCAGUCUUACCGUCAGUAAACCUCAUUCACAAAGCUGUUCUAUAAGGGGGUAUAAGGUUACUGCCUAUAAAAUGGCAGUUUAAUGGGUGUCCACUCUCACCCACCGCUUCCUUGACUGGUGGAGGGUCGUUAGCUGAACGGGUAGGAUAAGGACUAUAAUUCUCCUUUCAUUAAAAGUGUUAAUGAUAAAUACUAAGUAACUAAACUCUUAUUAAUAUCCAAUCAUAGUUACUUAGGAAAAUGUGAAUUUGGUGCUAACCCAUGAAAUUACACUUUGCACUUUGCUUAACUCGUUAGUGGAGCAUGUGUGGUUAACCAGCACGCUAACCUGGACUUAACAAGGUAGGCAAAGGGAAACUUAAUAUUUAUCAUAGUAUCGGUGGAGCGUAUGUAGUUAACCGGCACACUGAUUAAGGGGUAAAUAUUAAGGGUACCAAGUAUAUUUGCAUGGUUAUUCACACCUUGUUUUGUGAUCCUCGGCAUCCCAUUCACAAAACCUGAAGGGCACACUUGAAAUUGAAACACGCCUUUGAACAGUUCAAUGAAUCUCAAAGAUCUAGGAGUUUCAAAUCCAAUUAAAACCUAAUAAAUUAUUUUGUUUUUCAUGGUGGAAAUUGGUGAAUCGCCAUUCACCUACCUUCAAAUAUUUUAUAGCUUGGAUUACGGCAUCCCUCUUCUAAGUUAAAAAAUAGUUUGUUGGGUCCUAGCCUUAAUAUUUCAUAUUGAGUGUCAUAUUAAGCACUUUAAAUCAACUAUCUUGAAUAUCUCCCAAAAAGAUGUAUGGUCUAGACAUUUAUGAUCAUCCCAAAUCUCUUGAAACAAGCUUUCAUAAAUAAAGAUGAUGUCCCAUGGAUAUCAUACUUCUUUCACCUCCUCCAAUUAUUCCCCUUAACUCACAAGUUCCUAAAAAGUUUAAGGUCACUCAAGCCCUAUUGGCAAGGCAAGGUCUAGGUGUGAUCACAUCAUGGAGAUGUAGUCACAUGUUGACAAGCUGGGAGAGUUAGGUGUCAAAUUCAUUAGAAAGUUGGUUGCUCAACUACUUUCUAAGUCACAUAGUGAGAUCUUUUGAGAAUCCUAUGAAACAGACUAAGACAAGACAGUUAAUGAUCUUAUCUAUUUGCUAAGAUCAACUUCCUAAAACGUUGUGAACAUUAACAAUGAUGACAAUGGAUAUCCAGUAAAGCACUCUCUUCCCAAUGGAAAGGGAUCGGCCAUAGUCAACUCCGUUGACCAACUGGUAAAGAGAGAGGCUAAGUCUAAGAUAGUCCCAUUAUCAAGGGUCCACAGGUAACUAUUACCUAAGGAAGGGGCAUUGGUUGUGAAGCUGCCAAAUUUACCUAAGGAUGUUAAAGUCAAUAAGUUUCGCUCUACUUCAGGUAAAGUCCAUUGUCUAACUCUAUUAAGUACUUGCUGAUUCUGAUCGCGAAGAUGGAUUUCAAUCGCAUGGUUCGGUGAUCAGAAUUUUGGUCUAUUACUUAAGAGUUAUGAUAUUUAUAUUGCUUAGGAAUUGAUAACAACAAGGUUUUCAUAUGGAUUGUAAGGAUAAGUUUUUCCGCAAAGUUUUAAAAUAAAAGAAAAAGGUUUUGAUUUUAUUUAUUUCAAGUAUCCUUAGAAUGGCAUUUGUGAAAAGUUGUUGCUUAUAAAAUUCCAUUGAUAGCAAUAUUGGAAAAAUGGAUUUGAUUCUUUCGGAUGAGGUAGUGUCUAAUAUUACCAAAUAAGGAAAGAUUCUCAUCACACAAGGUUCAAUUGUACCGAAACUUGGAAUCAUGCAACUUGUAUAGUAUGAUGAAUGAGAACUUUCAGCUUGGAAAAAUUAAUACUAAUUCCUCAUGCGAAUAAGUAAAGGACCAAGGGAUUGAAUACACAUUCUUGUGCACUGGUCAAGUCCACCACAAAAGAUCAAGAAGACUAUUCGUCAUGAUUUAUUAAAGUUCAGUAAAUAUGGUUAUACUUAUAAGUUUAAGUAUAAGUCUGUAGCAUUGGGGAAGUUUCAUUGUGAGACAGAACGAAUAAGAAGAAUCAAAGUAUGGCAGAAAGAUAAAAGUUUCUCAAAUCUGAAAAGAUGGGAGAGUACUUUAGUAUCAUGUUUAUGAUCAUCGUAAUGAUUCAGAUACCAUAUCACAAUUGGUCCUCUAAAGUCAUCUUAGUGCAUUCUUAUGACUAAGAAGAGGAGUUAUGAAUUGUUGAAAUGGUUAAAUCAAAAAGAUGAGUCAUACUCCGUUCCAAAACAAUUCUUAGAGUCAUACUCCAAGAUUGUAACUUGAGUGACAUAUCUUAAAGAGGGUUUGUUAACACUAGUCAAAUGUAAGAGUAAAAGGUUAUCUACUCUUGUACAUUUGAAAUUGGUAAGUUGUGAUGUUUUGGAUAAAACAGAGACCAACUUAGGCCAAUUGUGUAAAGUGUUAGUCUUGAUAAAUAAUCCGCACUAUCUCUUGAAUAUUUGACAAUGGAGUCUUAUAUGUCAAGAGGACAGUGGGAGCCUUAAAGCUCUUGAACAUUUCAAGACUUAAUCAAGAAUAAAACCUAAAGUCCUGCACUAGCACACGACUUGAGGUUUAUAACCUAUCGUGUUGAAAUUUUUGUGCAUAUUCAAGUUGGCUUUUCAUACGAGUUUUGAGAGUUCUCAAUUGGUUGCACAACUACUUGGAAGCAAUCGCAGGCACCUGAGCUGCCAAAUCGCAAGAAUUUAAGAUUGCACAAGUUUAAUCCAUAUGAGUUUGGAUUUGUCAGUAACCUUGUCUUGUGAUUAUGGUUUUGACAAAUUCACAUGGAUAAGAACACAUACACUAUUAAAUCUAAGUUCAUAAGGUUUCUCUCCGAUUCAUGAAUAUGAUGGUGAGGAAAAACUUUUACUAAGUAGAUUUUAGCUAGAUAGCAAUUGUAAUAUUUGCAUUCUCAAAGUCGUUAGUGGAGCGUGUGUGGUUUACCGGCACAUUAACAUGGACUUGUGAGGAGUGGCAAAGGUCUAAACAAUUGAGACUGUGAUUACGGCAUCCCUUUUCAUAGUUCUAAAAUUGUUUAGACACACAUGUGAGCUAUCUAAGAGAGGUGUAUGAUUUUGAUAAAGUUUUAUCAAAACAAUCUAGUAUCAGAAAUAUGAACACUGGUAAGAAAGUCAACUGAUUUCUGAGUACAUGUCAAAGCUAGUGGGAGCAUAAGUAUUAUGCUAAUAAUCAUCAUGUUAGUUGGAGCAUGAUAAUUAUGAUAAAGGUUAAAAGUUAGCAAUGUUAAUUAUAGAAAACAAAAGUUUCAAUUCGUGAGGUUGCAGGGGUUGAAAAAGUUGUUUUGCUAUAAUUAAGGGAGAGGAAAUUAUACUUCAUUUCAAUUCUAAAAGCUUAGAUUGAAAUUUUAAUCGUAUUUAGUCAAGGAUAUAUAUAUGAAUUUCAUGUUAGAAUGGCUCAACAUAAGGAAAUUCUAUAUAUGGGUCCAUUAUUUGCCUUCUAAAAUUUGUGUCCCAUAUGCUUCGGAUAUAGGAUCGAUUACAAGUGCUAUAUUCAUCCAUUCUAAAAUUUUCCAAAUGCCUAGGGCAUUAUGAAGGGAAAAGGUCUAGAAUUGGAUAUGACUAAAAUGAUUAAGCAAUUGUCGAGGACAAUCUAAGGUUUACCAAAGAUUGGUUGCUCAAGGACAGUUGGAAGUAUAAUGUUAAUUCUGGAAGGACUAUCUUGACAUAAUCUGUAAGGAGGCAACUCUUGUUCGGAAGUGAAAGUCAAAAAUGGAAUAUGGAAAUGUUUCAAAGUUAGAAAUUAUUUAAUUUGUGUAAGAUUAGGAAACUUAAUGCAAGAAGUAUUUUUCUAAGGAGUUGAUAUCCUUUGGAAUGCUCUGUAAUGAUUGUUGUCAAGUCUUUCUAACUUUGUGCAUAAUCAUUACAAGAGGAUCAAUGCAUAUAGGUUUAGAAUCUAACAGAUUUCAGUAAAUGACAUGAAUUUGGAAUUCUUGCAUUUGCAGUAAGAAUUGGGGACUGUGAAAAGAGGAUCAUUGGAGUGAUGUUCACUUGAGCUAUUACACAAAGUAAAGAUCAUAGACAAACAUAGUAUGCAUACUUGGUGUAUGGCAUGACUAGUGUUUAGAAAACAUAGUGUACAUGCUUGGAGCAUGGGACAACUAUUGUUUUAAAUUCAAGAAUAAAGUUGAUAGCUGAAACAGUAUACAAUGAAUAAUGUGUAAUCAUAUGGUGAUAAAUAAAAGGUGUUUUAUUUAUGUUCAUAGGUUUUGAUACCAUAUUGGAUUCAGUUAUUAUUGUGUUUCACCUUGCAUGUUUUAACUUCCAGAAUAACUAGGUCAUUGUACUGGAUGACUAAGUUAUUCAAACCAUCCACAUUCGGUCAUACGUUGGAAGUAGAUAUGAAUCAAGAUUGUCAUGGGUUGGCUUGUAGAGGUCUAAGAUGUUGGACAAAGGGCUACAACACUCAUGAGUGCUCAUAAGUUCUGAGUAUUGGAUUCAACCCGCGCUCAUUGGAAUCACUUCAUGGAUGUUAUCACGAGUGAUCAUGAGACGAUAAUAUCUUAUAUUCUUCAAACCUAGAGAUAUGAGUUGUUACUAUGAGUUGGUUGUACAUUGAUUGCACGAAAACACAUUCGGUAACUCGAUGUUAUAAAACCUGCCUUUCUGUAUGAUUCAACAAGUAGUAGAACUAGCCAUAUGAGUCGAAGUUUAUCCAUUUCUUUUACCUUCGGGAUAAAAGGGAUAUUUGUGGGCCCUUCGACGAUUUAAUGAUGAUACAUGUAAGUGAUUGGCCAAGCCAGGACUGAUUUGAUCUGUUCAAUCAGCCAGUCAUCAUGAAUUGGAAAUCGGGAAACAACAAAUGGACAGAGAGAAUGAUUUUAAUCCAUGUCUCAAUACAUAUGAUAUAUAGAGUGGAGGAAUAUAUGAUCCCAUAUCUAAUGGACAAGUCAUUGACAAAGGUCAGAGUUCAACGAAAGGGUCAGAGUUCAACAGAAGCUUUUGAGAGCUACGAUUGCUGAUCGGUUCCUGAAGUCAUACGCAAUAAUAUUUUUAGACUUAUCCAAGUGGGAGACUAUUGGAUUAAUGUCUAAUUCCAUAACUAUAAUUAGUAAGACUUGACCCUACCCGAGAUGGUCCAUUUGGGUCGCAUGGCAUCAUGCAUUUGGAUAGACUAUCAUGAGACAAAUAACACUUAAAGUUGGUUAAUAUAUUAUAAGUUCUAAUAUAUUAAUAAGGUUAUUUAAUUAGUAUUGAUCAAGAAUAAAUUUGGAAUUAAUUAAGUGAUCCAAAGGAGACUAAUUAAAUAUAUGGGUUGAUUGUGUAAAUCAUUCAUUCUUAUAUAUGUGGGCUUGUGAUCCAAGAUUCCUUAUGUUGGACUAAGUCCAUGGGGUGACCCAUGGAUACUCCAUGGAGUUUCAAAUCCAUGGAGCUUAAGGAAUGGGUAAAUUUAUGAGUUACGUAGAGUAACCCAAAUAGCCACCAUAUAAAAGAAUCCCAUGGCUCAAGAAAUCGUGCACUAUGUGUGAGUGUGAGGGCUAGAUGAUUUCAAGGAGUGUUCAAGUUUCUCUCAAGUUAUUCCAAGUGUAUUUGGUGUUGUGUGAACCAUUUGAGGUGUCACACUUGGCGCACUAGGCACUCAAGCCUCAUGAAGACAUUCUACAUGAAAGAGGUAUGUAUUAUAUAUUGUUAUGUUCAUUAUUUUGUAUGCUAAAUUAGGAUAAUACCUUGGAUGUUCAUAAUUGUAUGUAUAAUAGAGAAAACAUAUAUCUAAGGUAUUUAGGGUUGCAUGUACACAUAGGAGUGUUAGAAUGCUCAUAACCCUACACAAUAAUCAUGUGAAGGUCCGAUCUUUACACUCAUGCAACACACAUAAUAAUUCUUUUGGUGAAAUAGCUUCUAAAAUGGCAACCUAGGCUCAUAUCUCCAAAGGAACAACAUAAAGCAUAAUGGUUGGGACUCUUUGGACCUCUUAAGGUCCAGAUCUAAGACUUAUUCCACCUUUGGACCUUAUAUGCUUCGAAUCCAAGCUAAAUAAGGGAUAAGAAAACCCUAGAUCCAAGUAGUCCAUCAUAUACACGAGAAUGUGUAUAGAUUCAUAACUCUAGUAGCACCAUCUGAUUGAAUGGAAGCAAAUCAGAGCUCCUUAACCUACCUAGCUUGCCCUCCUUCCUUCUUUCUUGCAAAAUCAUGCUAGAGAUGAUGAAAAUGGCUUCUUAUCUCACUCAGUAUGCUCUCAGGUCCUCGAGCGUUUGAAUCGUCCGCUCACUCUGUCCAUCCGUCUGUGGUUGAUAAGUAGUGUUGAAGUGCAACCUCGUACCCAACUCCUCAUGGAACUUCUUCCAGAACCUGGAUGUGAGACGUACAUCUUGAUUUGACACAAUCGAAAUCGACACUCCAUGCCGCGACACCACCUCUCUCAUAUAUAUCUCUGCCGACCUCUCUGUAGAGGAGGUCUCUGUUGGAUAAGGUGUCUAAGUCCAUAACUUAUUUGGUAUAUACUUGACCCAGCCCGGCAUGGUCCAUUUAGGUUGCACUUCAACCAAACUAUUUACGGAUAAUUUUAUGAGAAUUGUAUACUUACGAUUUAUUAAUAUAUUAUAAGUUAUAAUAUAUUAAUAUAAAGUCAUGAUAUUUAAUUCAUUUUAAUCUUGAAUUAAUUAUGAAUUAAUUUAGUGAUUAAAAGGAAGACUAAUUAAAUUAUGGGUUGUUACAUUUAUAUGGUGUGGGCUAAUACUCAUUUGUUAAUAGGCUAAGCUUAUAUGGAAGUCCAUGGAUGAUCCAUGGAGCUUUAACCCAUGGAUCCUUGGAAGAGGAAAAGACAUGGGUUAUUAGGGUUUCACUCUAACCAUGCACACUAUAUAAAUUGUAAGGUCAAACCUUGAAAUAUGAUGAUGUUUGUCUAUCAGAAUCAGCAUCACAAUAGCUCAGUGUAUAUAGCUUUAUUCAGCACGUUGUAACAGAUCUUGUCUUUAUCUUGUUUCCUUAGAUAACAUUGUUUAGUUAGCUGUAUGUCCCUGAUUUGUAGGGAUUGUCUAGUAUAGUUCUAUAUAAUAUUUUGAACCGGUUUGUGACAGGCAUGUCUUUUCACAAACCCUAAUAGCUGCUUUGUGCGAACAAUAAUCUCUUUGUGAGAUUAUCAUUCUUAGUGAAAAUUUUUCUUUGUGAAUCUCUAUUGUUCUUAUUUUCUGUCAUUGUUUGAUAAGUUGUUUGAUCUUUGGGUCGUUCAAUUGGUAUCAGAGCGGUGUUCUCUUAUCAAACAAAUGGCUUCAUCAUCUUCUUCUUUAAACUCUUCUAAUCAUUCUUCUACUAAAAUUCUUCCGUUUGAUGAAAACAAUUUUGCUAUGUGGAAAAUCAAAGCUUUGUAUGCUUUGAAAUCUGUAGAUGAGGACAUGUUGGACAUUGUCAAUAAAGGUCCAUAUGUUCUGAUGUAUCAGCCUCUGAAAAACAAUGUUCCUGAUGGUGUCAUGAAGAAAACACCUAAAGAGAACUGGACAUCUGAUGACAAAAGAAAGAAUGGGCUUGAUGUUCGUGCUCGGGCAGCAAUCAGCUAUGCUUUACCAUACAAUAUCUUUGGGUUGGUUCAAAACUGCAUAUCAGCAAAAGAAAUGAUGGACACACUGACUGUGUCUUUUGAAGGUACUGAGGAAGUCAAGGCUACUCAAAUAAAUGAUCUAAACAAAAGGUAUGAGGAGUCAUCAGAUGAUGAAGUUAAGUGUCUGAUGGUCACACUGAUGAAUGUAAAAUCAGCAACAGUUCAUUUGAUGCUGAUAUGUUUGAUGCAGUGGAAAACUCCAAGAAGCACAACACUGAUUCUCCUUCAAUGUAUCAGGUUCAAAACUUUGUUUCAUAUUCAAUGAAUGAAAAAAUCAAAAUGUUUGAGUAUUUGGGUGUUCUUAAUUCUAAGAAGAACCAAACCAUAAGGGAUUUGCAAAAUCAAACUGAUCUUCUUAAAACUGAAUUAUCUAAGAAAAAUAACAUUAUUGAUUCUACUCAGGAAAAUCUUAGAAUCACUAGUUUGUCAAACUCAUCUUUGUCUACUGAAAUUGAUAAUGUUAAAGAUCUCUUGAACAAGGAACAAAUUGUGCUUCAAAUUUGGGCCAAAUCUCACAAAAAUGCUAAUUAUAUUAUUUCUGCUGAAAUACCACACUCAUGUGAGAAAAUUCUUGGGGGUAAUUUUGCAGAAGCUGAAAAAGUUUUUAAAACUCAAGAAAAAGAAUCUGAAUUUUAUUCCAUGAAUGAGUUGAAAAAUAAUUUCAAAGACAAGUUUAUCAGUAACACUUUUAUUAAUCAGAGUCUAAUUGAUGAAUACUGUGUCACUGAUUCUCAUGGUGUCACUGAGUGUGAUACUGAAAUUACUGGAAUUGAUCCUACCUCUUACCCUGUACACCUUGUGAGACCAACUCCUCUCACUGAAAAUAUUAUAGCAUUUUCUAUCUCAAAUGGAGUGUUUCAUGCUGUUCAUGAACAACUUAAGCAUUUUCCUAAUUGUAUUGCUUCAGUGAAUAAAUCCAAAUCUAAUACUGAUGUCAGCUCUUCAUCUAUCACUAAUCAUAAUUUAUCUGACACUGAAUUCAGUUGUGAUUCUAUGACAAACAAAAGGACUCAAAGUUCACUUAGUGGAUCUUACAAAUCUAAAAGUGUUAAGUCUAGAAAUAUGCUCACCAAGAAGAACUUUGGUACUAGAGUCUGUUACAGAUGUGGUGAUACCUCUCAUAAGAUCAGUGAAUGCUCGUUUGAUAAAACAUCUUUAAGAGCUGAUAACAUCAAAGUUAGAAAUGAAAAAUGGACUCUUAAGUCAAAUUCUUUAAACUGUCUUCCUAAAGAGUGUUAUAAUUUACUAUCGAAUAACCUUGUGAAUGACCCAUUUUACAAUGGAUCAGUGUGUUCUAACUAGUUUCUCAGCACUGCAGGGUCAAGAGCAUCUUCGGUACUUAGACAGUGGUUGCUCAAGACAUAUGACAGGAUCCUAGUCUCUCCUGGAAGACUAUGACAAGAAAAGUGGUCCUGCAGUUACAUACGGAGACAAUGGAAGGGGGUUCACUAAAGGAUAUGGGCACAUCAAAUGCAACAAUGUGGUGUUUCAGAAUGAUUACUUUGUAAUUGGUUUUGCUAAUGUUUGCUACUUUCUUAUAAGCUGAUGUACACUUUGCCGAUGAUGAUAUUCUGAUGAUAUUUUCAUGCUGAGUACUUGGUUUGAUCUCUUAUCUCUAUCUCUUCUACAAAUCUUCUAAACUAAAGUGGAAUGAUAAAAACUUGAAACUCUUUGCCGAUGGUUAGACCAAAACACUAAGAUCUAUCACAUGCAACUAUCCCUUCUUACCAAUCUUACACUGAUUCUGUGAUUCAGUGUGACAAAACACAUGCUGAUGAGAGUCUAACAGUCUUUGUCGAUGGUUAGACCAAAACACCAAGGUCUAUCACACGCAACUAUCCACUCUUACCAAUGUUACACUGAUUUUGUGAUUCGGUGUGACAAAACACAUGCUGAUGAGAAUCUAACAAUCUUUGUCAAUGGUUAGACCAAAACACCAGUGUCUAUCACACGCAACAAUCCUCUCUUCACCUUCUUCUCACUUAGUGUCUAAUGAUUCAGUAAGACGAACCACUCACUGAUAAAGACACAAUACUCUGUUUCGAUGGUUAGAUAAUUAAACUAGUAUCUAACACACGCACCAACCACCUUGCUAACCUUAAACAAGCAAGUUGUACCUUGAAUUGACGGUAAACCAUCUUUCAGCAUGAAACUUUCGUAACACUGAUCUCAGUGCUUCUGCAGACACUGAUUGUCGUUUCAUCUUUAGUUCAACGGCUCUUUUACCCAACGGUUAUUUUUCUGAUUUGACAGUUUGUUACGAUACGCAGUUAUUUUUAAUGAAGAUAAUCAUUACCUUUUAAAACCCGUUUUGUCCCAUAUUUAAACCUCUUUCCCCUCUCCUUCAAACCUUCCUUCCAUUAUUCAAAUUUCCUUCGUUUCUUUUCAAAACCCUAGAAUCCAAAUCUUCUUCAAUGGCGGCAUCCCUAUUUACCUUCUCAUCCACUUCACGAAGGGUAAUCCAUGCUCCAAACUCUCCUCCUCUUCCCAUAUACAUCAAAGCCACUAAUGUCGUUUUCAACCCUGAUAUACCAGAUGUCCAUCGAGGUCUUGGACUCGAAGAUUUUGUUAACUUUCUAGUUUCUUCCAGACUUCGAUACGCUAUCAGUGAGGUUCCAUCAGAGUUCUUUCCAGAACAAAUAUGCGAGUUCUACUACUCUGCAUCAGUCAAUAACGACAACAACGCUAUCUCCGGCACCAUUGGGCGUGGCCGUCACUCAGUAUUCAUCACUGUUGAUCUUCUCAAUGCUGCUCUCAGGUUGCCAAUAUUUGAACCUUUCUCUGAGCUCCCAUCAAUUUAACGCUGUCGACGCCUUUUUGAUCAAUUGGGAUACGAUCACUCCGAAGCUGGUGCUCGAUCAAAUCUCAUUCUGCGUCAGUGUAUGACUCCAGGAUGGAAAUUCUUCACCGGAGCACUUUGCAAGUGCGUGGGUCACAAAUCUCGUAGUGGUGAUCAACUGAGUACCUUUGAGCAACAAGGGGUAUGUUCUCUUCUUCUCAACAAACGUCUUGAUUAUGGGGCCUUUUUCUUUGAUUAGCUUGUUCAACUUCUUCAUGCCAAUAUAUAGAUUAUUACUCACACUCUGGAAACCCCAUCCAACGCCCACGCAUGUCAACUCGAAUGUAUCAGGAUGAUUCGUUGGAUACUUACAUCGGCAUCUCUGAUCGGAUGAGAGAAUGGAUUGCAAAUCCAUAUACCGUUCCUUCACUCACCGCUGAUACUGAUGAAGGAGCUGAUGGUAACAAUGAAGAUCAUGUCGAUAAAGAAUCACAAGAUGAUGGUCAUCCCUUUCCUCAACUUUCUCAUCAUACCAUCUCUGUCACUGAAAAGAUUCACUCAACUCAUGGGGAGCCAUCUGCUCAGGGGGAGCAACCAUCUCAGGGGGAGCAACCUUCUCAAGGGACGCAACAUCAAUCCCAAAAGCCUCCGGGUACUCAGUUCAUCCAAAUCACAUCCUCAGCUUUUAAUGAGCUUCUUACACUGACUCGAUACAUGAGUCAGCGACUCCUUCGAAUUGAAGCUGAUGUUCAACUACUGAAAGGAGUUAUUCUGUCAACUCCUAACCUUAGCCCACAAAGUGAUGAUGCUCAAAAAGGAGGAGACACUGAUAACGACUCCAACGAGGGAGACAAUGAUAACAAUGAUAAUAAUGAUAAUAACGCAAAGGAGAGAGAUACUGAGUCACCACAGCCUGUGCACGAGUAUGAUACUGUGGAGCCUGUUAAUACUGAAAAGUUUGUUGAGGAUAGUGGUGAGCCUGAUGAUGAAGAAAAACAGGAUGAUGAGUGUCAGAUGAUGGACAUGAAUUUCAUUGAUCCUAUUAUACUAGUCCAAGGAGAAGAUUCAGAUAUAGCCAAUGAGGAUACUCAACCCCUUUCUCGCAAGCGCAAGGCAGCAGAUACUGCCUUGGUUUCUUCACACACUGAUACAUCUCUGCCUUGCAAGAAACCUAAGUCCAUUGUCAGCAUAUCCAACUUGGCAACUGAAUGAAACACGUCUCCUGAUCAAGUUAAGCAAAUUCUUGAUGAAGCCAAUCAAGCUCAGCUUCUAAAUAAUAUUGCACAAGCUGAUGAAUCUCUCAUUCAGCAUCAACUUCAGGUCAAAGGAUCCUUUGAAGCUCAGAUGCAGAAAUUUUUGGAAUAUCAGUCCAAAUCCAAAUCCUCUCAGCCUUCUCCCAGCUGCAAUAAGUCUAAGACUGAUAGUGUUCUAGACAGGAUUGAUCGAAAGAGAUUUCAAGAUGUUCUUAAACGACGAGUGUGUAGUGAUAAAAUCAUCAAAGUUAAAGCUUCUAAACCGCGUAAUGAGAAAAUUCUUACAUUGUUGAUCACUCGUCAAGGUCCGCAACAUCCAUACACUGAAGUUGUCAAGAGGGAUGAGCUGAUCAAAUAUGGAUAUUCUGAAUGGACUGAAUUGCUCGAGCUGGCAUCCAAGCAAACUUCAGCUCUUUCAUCAGAAUUGCCUUGUGCUCUCCACUUGCUGAUUAAGAAAGUUCAGCGUUUAGACCUAGUUCCCCAAGAACGUCAUCAGCAGCUAGGCUCAAGCUCUUCAAUUCCAAGAAACAGAAGAACCAGGUUUCAGAUUCAUGGUGAAGAUGUGUUGGUUCUGAAUUUUGGUGCAGAUGAAUUAAACAACUCUCUUCCCAUUGGUGCUGAGCCUGUUCAACAUCAUUUUAUAUCUGUUCCUCAACACGGAAUGUUCCAUCUCGACAAUAACAGAAAAAUGUGUUUUCAGCGAACUGCUGAGAUUCCAAGGGCUCCAACAACUCAUCUCGUUGACUUAAGACAAAUGUGCAUGAGCCAUCAAGAUCUUUCUGGAGAAUUUCAUAUUCUAAUUGCUAUGGAAUUGUUGAAUAGAAGACAGGAGCUGGUGGGCAGUCCCUCCUGGCCUGUGAAAAUUGAAGCUGAAGCUGAGUAUGAAGAAUUCUUGUCCAGAGGUGUUCUAAUCUAGUUGGUUUUGAACAUCAUCAUGUUGGGGGAGAUUGUAAGGUCAAACCUGAUGAUGUUUGUUUAUCAGCAUCAGCAUCACAAUAGCUCAGUGUAUAUAGCUUCAUUUAGCACGUUGUAACAGAUCUUGUCUUUAUCUUGCUUCCUUAGAUAACAUAGUUUAGUUAGCUGUAUAUCCCUGAUUUGUAGGGAUUGUCUAGUAUAGUUCUAUAUAAUCUUUUGUACCGGUUUGUGACAGGCAAGUCUUUUCACAAACCCUAAUAGCCGCUUUGUGCGAACAAUAAUCUCUUUGUGAGAUUAUCAUUCUUAGUGAGAAGUUUUCUUUGUGAAUCUCUAUUGUUCUUAUUUUCUGUCAUUGUUUGAUAAGUUGUUUGAUCUUUGGGUCGUUCAUAAACAAGCUUAUCUUGCAUGAAAAACCACCCUAGUGUGUGUGUAAUAGUGGUGGCCGAAUUCUAAGAGUUAGUAUACUCUCUCAUAUAUUUUCCAAGUUUGUGGUGAUUUGUGAUUUCUAAUCGAGGCAUUCAUAUUAUUGGUGAUUGGCUCUCAAACACCAAGGAAUCAACAAUCAACAAAAGGUAUGUAAUUCAUCUAGUUCUUUUAUGUUUAAAAGUACCCCAGGCCAUGCUAGAUAGGUUAUAAACCUUUGAAGAAUGAUAUUUUGCAUGUACCUUAAACAAACAUAGAUCAAAGGUUUAUUUGGGUUACAUGUACACUUAGGAAGUGUUAGAAUGCUCAAAACCCAAUAGUGGUAUCAGAGCCUAGGCUUGUUUGUUUGAUACUUGAUGUAAAAUAGUGAAAAAAAGUCGAUAUUCUUGCUGUCUGCAUGAUGAACUCGCUGAGUCCAUGGGGGGACUCGCCGACUCCAUGACCAAAUUCCUCCUACUCGACGAGUAGGAUCGUGCACUCGGCGAGUAGAAGCCGCAGAAUGCAGAUUUUCGACUUUAGCUGCUGGAAAUGGACUAGAAACAUUACCCUAAAUUGUUUUGGUGUCUUAAAACUUGCUUUUGUUGGUGUAAUGGUUAUUCUAAUCCAUUUACAAUAGCUUAUAUCAAAAUUUCAUGCUUUGUAUGUGUUCAUAUAAUUCUUGAAACUUUGAUGAUCAUGUUCAUGUUCUUAUGAAUUUAGAAGAUGAUAGGAAUUAUUUGCUGAAUUAUUUAGGAUUAAUUCUUGAUCAUUUAUGUGUUUUAAUGGAGUCCAUAAUUUGUCAUCAAGUUAUGGAAAUCCAAAGGUCACCUCUUUUAAACACACAUUUAAAACACAUAAGUUACAUAAAAUGAAGAGUCUUCAUUUUUAUGAACCCUUAAUUCAUAAGUUAUGAAAUGAAAAGUUGUGCAUGGUUACAAAACUUGUCCUCAUGUUUUGGAAUUUUUAAAGUUUCACACACUUUAAUAAAAUUUAACUCCAACCCUUAGAUUUUUAAUAGUUAAAAUUCAACACUUAUACUAUUUAUAACAUUAAUGGUUAAUUAUUAUAUAUAUGUAUAAGAAUAAGUCGUUUUACCAUUAGUAGGCCUCAUUCACGAAGCCGGUCUAUAAGGGGGGUAUAAGGUUGUUGCCUAUAAAAUGGCGACUUAAUGGGUGUCUACUCUCACCCACCGCUUGCUUGAUCGGUGGAGGGUCGUUAGCCGAACGGGUAGAACAACGACUUUAAAUCCUCAUUAAAAGUAUAAUGAAUAUUAUAAAAUAACUAAACUCUUUUAAUUCCCAAUCUUAGUUAUUUUAGGAAAAUGUGAACAUGGUGCUAAUCCAUGGAAUUCACACUUUGUACCUUACCAAGUCGUUAGUGGAGCGUGUGUGGUUAACCGGCACACUAAUUAGACUAGUAAGGAUCACGAAGGGUAACUUAAUGUUGUCAUAGAUCAAUGGAGCGUGUGUGGUUAACCGGCACAUUGAUUAGGUGAUAAUAUUAGGAGUACCAAGUGAGUUAGCAUGGUUAUUCACACCUUGUUUUGUGAUCCUCGGCAUCCCAGUCACAAAACUUGAAGGGCACAAUCGAGAUUGAAACAUGCCAUUGAAAAGUUCAAUGAAUCUCAAAAGAAUCUAGGAAUUUCAAAUCCAAUUAAACCUAAUUAAUCAUUUCGUUUUCAUGGUGGAAAUUGGUGAAUCGUCAUUCGCCUACCUUUCAAAUAUAUUAUUACUUAGAUUACGGCAUCCCUCUUCUAAGUGUAAUAUAUUGUGAUUGGAUCCUAGCCUUAAUAUUACAUUUGGGUGUCUUAUUAAGGACUCUAUAUAUCUAAUCUAAACUUGAUUUCUUCUUUCAGAUGUCUUCCAAAACUAAUGCUUCGGGCUCUACCCCAACUGGCUCUUUCUCUCUCAUGAAUCUUUGUGGGAGAGUCAUUUAUGAUGGUUCCAACUUCAUGGACUGGAUUAGGAACAUCAGGAUGAUUACUCAUUAUGAGGACAAAUAAUACGUCCUCGAUAAGCAGUUAAAGGAGAUUGAUGAGUCCACUGCUACUCCUGAGGACAUCGUUGAAUUCAUGACACAUGAGAGACGUGCUACUAAGGUGGCAUGCAUCAUGAUGGCCACGAUGACAACCGAACUCCAAAAGUCCUAUGAGGACUUCUACCCUUUUGAGAUGCACCAAGACCUGAUGGAAAGGUACCAUCAGUGUGCUCGUCAGGAGCAGUAUGAAAUAAUCUCCUCCAUGAUAACAACCCCCAUGAAGGACGGUGAAUCCGUCACGGGCACAUGCAAUUGAUGCAAAGGUAUUUGGACCGUUUGCUCAAGCUAAACGUGAGCUUCCCUGAGGAGUUGGAAAUUGACAUCAUUUUGCACUCCUUACCUUCUUGCUAUGACCAAUUUCGUAUGACAUAUCAUAUGAACAAGGAGGAAGUUACUCUUAGCAAACUUUAAGGACUCUUGAAGACCGCUGAAACCGGUCAUAAGGGCAUGUUGGUAGUUACCUCUACUACUCCUACUCCAACAUCUACCCCUGUUUUGGCUAUCGGGAAAGGCAAAGGGAAAAAGAGGAAGUCCCCUUCAAAGGGUACCAAGGGAAAGUCUCUUGAAGGCUCCUCAUCAAGGACCAAGAGCGGNCCGGUUCUGUCACUCCUUCUACCAUUCCCAAGGAUGAUGAUUGCUACUAUUGCCAGGACAAGGGGCACUGGAAGCGAAACUGCCCUAAAUACUUGCAGGAUGGGACGGAUGGGAAAGUGAAACCCACCUAUGCAAGUAUUUACACAAUAUUGUCUAAUAACUCACAAUAUUCUAACUCUUGGGUGCUUGAUACAGGAUGUGGUAUUCACAUAUGUUCUGAUUUGUAGGGCCUAAGAAGAAGUGAGGAUGUGGAGCACGGGAAGAUAAACUUGAUCAUGUGGAAUAGGAAGGCUUCACCUGUUUCCAAGAUUGGAGUUUAUACUUUGUUGCUGAAUAAUGGGUUAAAAUUAGAUUUGAAUAAAUGUGUGUACUCGUCUGAAAUGGCGAGGAAUAUUAUUUCUUUUCAUGCUUUGUACAAACAAGGUUUUACCUUUUCGUUUGAUAAUGAAUGUGGUGGUAUUAAUGCUUUCUUUAAUAAUGUGUUUUAUUUUAAAGCAUUACCUUGUGAUGGUGUGUAUGAAACUGUGUCGAUUGUAGACAACUUAGGAAAUAAUGUGUUGUAUAUUGAUUCUUCUACUAGCCUAGAUAAAGCAUCAUUGUGGCAUUGUCGUCUUGGACAUGUAAACAAGAAACGCAUAGGCCAACUCCAAAAGGAUGGAGUCUUGGAAUCAUUUGACCUUAAAUCGGAUGAUAUUUGUGAAUCUUGUCUACUUGGAAAGAUGACAAAAUCACCCUUCACUGGUACUUGUGAAAGGGGUGAGGGUUUGUUGGACCUAAUACAUACUGAUGUGUGUGGACCAUUCAAAACCGCCACAAGGGAUGCUAAUCGGUAUUAUGUGACUUUUAUUGAUGAUUUUAGUAGAUAUGGUUAUGUCUACUUAAUCAAACAUAAGUUAGAAACCUUUGAAAAGUUUAAGGAAUUUAAACAGGAAGUAGAAAAACAAUUGGGCAGGAACAUUAAGAUGCUUCGAUCCGAUUGAGGUGGUGAGUACCUUAGUACUGAGUUCCUUGACUAUCUUAACGAGUGUGGGAUUGUCUCACAAUUGACUCCUCCUAGAACACCCCAACUAAAUGGUGUAGUUGAGAGGCAUAAUCGAAUCUUGUUAGACAUGGUUCGCUCUAUGAUGAGUCGAACAUCGCUACCAAUCUCUUUUUGGGGGUAUGCCUUAGAGACUGCCGCCCAUAUCCUUAAUCUAGUCCCUACAAAGAAGGUUACCAAAACACCUCAUGAGAUGUGGACUGGGAAGGUUCCCAAUUUGGACAACAUCAAGAUUUGGGCGGUGAGGCUUUCGUGAGGCGAUAAACUCAUGAUAAGCUUGAACCCCGAAGUGAAAGAUGUAUUUUCAUCGGCUACCCACAGAAAUCCUUCGGUUACCUCUUCUACAGACCUAAUGAGAAUGUGGUCUUUGUAGCAAGAAUAGGGUCUUUCAUGAGAGAGAGUUUAUAAACCAAGGAGACAGUGGGAGGCAAAUUGACCUCGAACAAAUUCAAGAAUCAAUUGGUGAAGGAACUUCAGACACUAGCAAUCAACCUGAGGAGGAAACUCCUGUUGAGCCAGCUGACGAGUCUGUACCUCCGAGGCGUUCCACACAGGUUAGUAACACACCUACAUUUUAUUAUGGUUUUCAUAUUACUACGGAAGGUGAUACAUUUAUCAGUGAUAGUACACUGGUAAAUUUGGAUGUACCUAGCAGUGUGAAGGAAGCCAUGGUAGGCCCGGAGUCUGCUAAAUGGAAGGUGGCUAUGUACAGCGAGAUACAGUCCAUGUAUGACAAUCAAGUUUGGAACUUGGUUGACAACGUACCAGGCCAUAAAGAAGUCGGGUGCAAAUGGAUCUUUAAGAAAAAUACCGACAUGGAAGGAAAAGUGCACACAUAUAAGGCUCGAAUGGUUACAAAGGGUUAUACUCAGACUCAAGGUAUUGAUUAUGAUGAAACCUUCUCACCGGUAGCAAAGAUUAAGUCUAUUAGGGUUAUGCUAGCCAUUGCUGCAUUUCAUGAUUAUGAAAUAUGGCAAAUGGAUGUCAAAACCGCUUUUCUUAAUGGAAAGUUGGCUGAGGAUGUGUACAUGAAUCAGCCAGAGGGUUUUGUCAGUGCAAAGUACCCUAAUAGAGUAUGCAAGCUUGAGAAAUCCAUUUAUGGAUUAAAACAAGCAUCUCGUAGCUGGAAUCUUUGUUUCGACGAGAAGGUCAAAGAGUUUGGCUUCACGAGAAGUGAAGAUGAGUUUUGCGUGUAUGUCAGAGCUAGUGGGAGUAUAGUUAGCUUCUUGGUACUGUAUGUAGAUGACAUACUACUUAUAGGAAAUGACAUCCCAACCUUACAAGAGGUUAAGUCCGGGCUUGGGAAGUGCUUUGCUAUGAAGGACCUAGGGGAAGCUGCCUAUAUCCUAGGGAUAAGGAUAUUAAGAGAAAGGAGUAAAAGACUAAUUGGACUUAGUCAAAGUACCUAUUUGGAUAUGGUGUUGAAUAGGUUCAACAUGCAAAAUUCCAAGAAAGGAGAUUUACCGAUCCAAUGCAAUGCCAAACUAAGUAAGACUCAGAGUCCGAGUACAGAGGCUGAGAUAGCAGAAAUGAGUCGAUUAUCGUAUGCUUCCACUAUAGGCUUGACCAUGUAUGCUAUGACUUGUACCCGCCCUGAUGUGGCCUUUGCUUUGAGCAUAGUUAGCAGAUAUCAGGGGAACCCUGGCAAGGCUCAUUGGACCGCGGUAAAGAAUAUUCUCAAGUACCUGCGGAGGACUAAGGAUUGGAUCCUUACCAUAGGUGGGAGUGAUGACUUGAGAGUAUUAGGGUAUAGUGAUGCUAGUUUUCAGACUGAUAGGGAUAACUCCUGCUCUCAGUCGGGCUGGGUCUUUACCCUAAAUGGAGGGGCAAUCUCUUGGAAGAGUUCCAAACAGGAGACGGUAGCCGAUUCGACUUGUGAAUCAGAGUAUAUAGCAGCGAGUGAAGUGGCGAAGGAGACGAUAUGGCUAAAGAACUUCAUCGGAGACCUUGGAGUUGUACCAGCUAUCAAGGGGCCUAUGGAGAUUUUCUGUGACAGCAAUAGUGCGGUUUCCUUAGCCAAGGAACCGAGAAAUCAUGGCAGAUCCCGAAACAUUGACAAAAUAUAUCACUUCAUAACACACAAGAUAGAUGAAGGACUCCUCGUGGCAAAGAGGGUAUCGUUAGAUGAGAACCCUACAGACCCCCUUACGAUGGGAUUGACGAGGGUUAAGCAUUUGCAGCAUGCGAGGCGCAUCAGGCUGAGGGACGAUAUUAAUUUUAUAGAUUAGAUAGCCUUUUCUGAAACUUGUAAAAUGUAAUCGACGUUUGAUGAUGAAUAAAAUUUGUGAUUUAUUUAUAAGUGAAGUGUUGCUAUCAUUUUCAAUUAUUUACUAUUGUUUCAGUUUUGCAUGUUUUGACUUCCAGAAUAAUUAAUUUAUUCAAACCUCCACAAUCGGUCAUACGUCGGAAGUAGGUAUGAAUCAAGAUUGUCAUGAAUUGGGUUUGUAGAUGGCUAAAGGUGUUUAGACAUAGCAAUGGUUGCUACAACGUUCAUGAGUGCUCAUGAGUUAUGAGCAUUGGACUAAACCCACGCUCACUUGUAUCACUUCAUGGAAUUUAUCUCCAGUGAUCGUGAGACGACAAUAUCAUAUAAGUCUUCAAACCUAGUGAUAUGAGUUGUUACCUAUGAGUUGGUUGUGCAUUGAUUGAACGUAAAUGCAUCAGUAACUUGAUGUCAUAAAACGUGCCUUUGUGUAAAAUUCAACAAGAAGUAGAACAAGCAUAUGAGUCGAAGUUAAUCUGUUCCUCCUAGAAAUAGAAGCAAUAUCUGGGCCCCUCGAUGAUUUUGUGUUGACCCAUGUACCGGGCCCGGUCAGAACUAAAUUGAUGUCUUCAGUUGAGUUCUUUGUCAAACAAAUCAGAAAUCGAGAAACAACUGCCAGACAAUAGGUAAGACAUUGUUCCAUGUAUUUGUCCAACUAAUAUCAUGAGAACAGAGGACUAUAAGAUCACUUGUCUAAAAUGGCGCUUCAUAGUUCAAUAGAGUUUUCGAGAGCUACGAUUGUCGGUUGGUU
rnacentral:lncRNA from 1 species